UUUAUGAACGAAAUUACUAUU
rnacentral:piRNA from 1 species